rnacentral:miRNA from 1 species
AAGGAUAACUUACGCCUGUU